rnacentral:tRNA from 1 species
UCGGGAAUAGCUCAGCUUGGUAGAGCACCUGGUUUGGGACCAGGGGUCGCAGGUUCGAAUCCUGUUUCCCGAU